rnacentral:rRNA from 1 species
UACGUAGGGUGCAAGCGUUGUUCGGAAUCACUGGGCGUAAAGGGCGUGUAGGCGGUCAGGUUAGUGAGAUGUGAAACGCCCCGGCUCACCCGGGGACCUGCAUCUCAAACUGCCUGGCUUGAGUAUGGGAGAGGAUGAGGGAAUUCCUGGUGUAGCGGUGAAAUGCGUAGAUAUCAGGAGGAACACCGGUGGCGAAAGCGCUCAUCUGGCCCAAUACUGACGCUGAGGUGCGAAAGCUAGGGGAGCAAACGGG